GCGCCGGCAGCUCAGUUGGCAGGGCAGUGGGUCUGUACCCCACGGUCCCGGGUUCAAGUCCCGGUCGACGCU